AGAAGGAGAAGGGAGUUUUCUUCCCCUUUCCCUUAUUAAUCUUCUCUCUCUUCUCUCUAAGCUUUCCCACUGUUUUCUAUCUCUACACUUGGAUCCGGGGAGAUCCUUGCUUUGAGGACUCUAGAUAGUCCUGGAAUGCUAGAUUUUAGAGUACUGUUUAGAGGAUCAAAUAGGGAUCCUGGAUUGUUAUAAAUUUUAAUGAUGACUUGGUUCUGUAGGGAAACAAUCUGUUGGACGAGGGGAUGCUAAGCGGGAUCCUGCGCAUCCCGGUUCAUAGAUCGCCGUGAGGGCGAAUGAUUAGUUGUCUGAGUUUUCAACAAGAGUAAGAAUCCUUGUACGCCAAUCCUGCAUGAUAUAAAUAUUUUUACACCAUAUAUGUUUGAUAUGCUAUGAUCCAGACAAAGCAAAAAUAAAUUUAUAUCAAAUUAUAUUUUGAUUAUAUUGGUUUAUGAUUGGUACUAUGAUGGAUGUAUGUAUGUGCAUAAUCUACACCUGCAUAAAUAGAAUUAUAAAUGUGGUUCUUAUAGUAUGAUGGAAAUAAAUCGUAUUUUGAUUAUAUUUGUUGUAAUUGAUAGUGUGAUGGAUACAAUCCUGAGCAUAGCUUACAUUUACAUAAUUGGACUAAAAAUAUUUAUAAGAUGGAAAAAGGAAUUGAUGUGUGUAUGUGAAUUGAUUAAAUGAACUGGGACUUUGGGCUUAUCUCGUUAUUAUUGAUUGCCCCAUCACAGGCUAGAAAUGUGAUAUGAUCGAUUGCCCCAUCACAGGCUGAAAAUGUGAUACUAUCAUUGCCCCGUCACAGGCUGGAAAUGUGAUACUAUCGAUUGCCCCAUCACAGGCCGGAAAUGUGAUACUAUUGAUUGCCCCGUCACGGCCGGAAACGUGACCGGGAUGUAGCCCAAAGUCGGAAAGAUAAUUGAUCCGGAUCAAGUUAACAUGGAAUGGAAAGAAAAAGCAUUGAAAACAGUCAUAGUGAUUUAUAAGCUAUUAUAUACUAUAUCAUUCUUAUGUGGCUGGACUUUCAUUGAUGUUUGAUGUAUAAUUAUGGACUUUCAUUGAUGCUUGAUGUACAUAAUUAUAUUGAUUAUUUGAGUCUUUUGGAAACUGUUUAUGAUUUCAUGAAAUGUGCAUCGAUUUGUCGUGGUUUUCAAAUUCAUAU
rnacentral:lncRNA from 1 species